rnacentral:sRNA from 11 species
GUCAGUAACUCAACCCUAAAGGGAUUGAGCUUGUAAGAGAAAUCAAACAAGCUGUACUGACCAGACCACCCUGAGCGUAGUCGAAGGGUAGCCGUUAUUUGAGUCACGACACCUCGGAAUGCGUUCGCGCCAGCGUGCCGUCAGGCAUAGCUAGUUCCCCGCUCUGUC